rnacentral:rRNA from 1 species
GGGCCCGCACAAGCGGUGGAGCAUGUGGUUUAAUUCGAUGCAACGCGAAGAACCUUACCUACCCUUGACAUCCUCGGAAUCUGCCGGAGACGGCGGAGUGCCUUCGGGAACCGAGUGACAGGUGCUGCAUGGCUGUCGUCAGCUCGUGUUGUGAAAUGUUGGGUUAAGUCCCGUAACGAGCGCAACCCCUGUCCCUAUUUGCCAGCGAUUCGGUCGGGAACUCUAGGGAGACUGCCGGUGACAAACCGGAGGAAGGUGGGGACGACGUCAAGUCAUCAUGGCCCUUACGGGUAGGGCUACACACGUGCUACAAUGGCAGGUACAAAGGGUUGCAAGACGGCGACGUGGAGCUAAUCCCAUAAAGCCUGCCUCAGUCCGGAUCGGAGUCUGCAACUCGACUCCGUGAAGUCGGAAUCGCUAGUAAUCGUGAAUC